rnacentral:rRNA from 1 species
CCUACGGGCGGCAGCAGUGAGGAAUAUUGGUCAAUGGACGAGAGUCUGAACCAGCCAAGUAGCGUGAAGGAUGACUGCCCUAUGGGUUGUAAACUUCUUUUAUAAAGGAAUAAAACGAGGCACGUGUGCCUUUUUGCAUGUACUUUAUGAAUAAGGAUCGGCUAACUCCGUGCCAGCAGCCGCGGUAAUACGGAGGAUCCGAGCGUUAUCCGGAUUUGUUGGGUUUAAAGGGAGCGUAGAUGGGUUGUUAAGUCAGUUGUGAAAGUUUGCGGCUCAACCGUAAAAUUGCAAUUGAUACUGGCAGUCUUGAGUACAGUUGAGGUAGGCGGAAUUCGUGGUGUAGCGGUGAAAUGCUUAGAGAUCACGAAGAACCCCGAUUGCGAAGGCAGCUUACUAAACUGUGACUGACAUUGAUGCUCGAAAGUGUGGGUAUCAAACAGGAUUAGAUACCCCAGUAGUC